rnacentral:lncRNA from 1 species
CACAGAUUCAAACCCAAACAAGGAUGAAGUCUAGCGUGUGUGAGGCCCUCAAGUCAUGCACAGUGCCAAACUCUUUCACACCCUUGGAUAUAAUAAUAAAAAAAAUUAGCGGUGGAGUUUUUUGAGAGUGUAGGAUAGUCACAAAGUAGAGAAAGAGAAUAAAGUUGGCAUCACUUUAACAACAAUUUUUUUUUUAUCUUCAAUUCUUUAUUU